AGAGUUUGAUCAUGGCUCAGGAUGAACGCUGGCGGCGUGCUUAACACAUGCAAGUCGAACGGACUUUUAUUGAAACCUAGUGAUAUGAAAGUUAGUGGCGGACGGGUGAGUAACGCGUGGGUAACCUGCCGUAUACAGGGGGAUAACACUUAGAAAUAGGUGCUAAAACCGCAUAAGCGCACAGCUUCGCAUGAAGCAGUGUGAAAAACUCCGGUGGUAUACGAUGGACCCGCGUCUGAUUAGCCAGUUGGCAGGGUAACGGCCUACCAAAGCGACGAUCAGUAGCCGGCCUGAGAGGGUGAACGGCCACAUUGGGACUGAGACACGGCCCAAACUCCUACGGGAGGCAGCAGUGGGGAAUAUUGCACAAUGGGGGAAACCCUGAUGCAGCGACGCCGCGUGAGUGAAGAAGUAUUUCGGUAUGUAAAGCUCUAUCAGCAGGGAAGAAAAUGACGGUACCUGAGAAAGAAGCCCCGGCUAACUACGUGCCGGCAGCCGCGGUAAUACGUAGGGGGCAAGCGUUAUCCGGAUUUACUGGGUGUAAAGGGAGCGUAGACGGUUGUGCAAGUCUGGAGUGAAAUGCGGGGGCUCAACCCCUGAACUGCUUUGGAAACUGUGUAACUGGAGUGCAGGAGAGGUAAGUGGAAUUCCUAGUGUAGCGGUGAAAUGCGUAGAUAUUAGGAGGAACACCAGUGGCGAAGGCGGCUUACUGGACUGUAACUGACGUUGAGGCUCGAAAGCGUGGGGAGCAAACAGGAUUAGAUACCCUGGUAGUCCACGCCGUAAACGAUGAUUACUAG
rnacentral:rRNA from 1 species